GCUUUGUCUAGCCUUUCUUUGAUCUUCCUUUCUUCAAUUACUCUGCCUUUGUAUCCUUCGUUAACUGGCUCUCACUGCAUUGCCUUACCUCAACUCUCUGUCUCCUUGCUUAACUCCGCCUUACAGUGUCCUACCUUGCUUUAUAAUGGCUUGUGUUGCUUUCUCUUGCCUUCUUUUCGUCUCCUUGCUUUACUCUGCCUUACAUGUAUCCUUCGUUAACUGGCUCUCACUGCGUUGCUUUAUCUCAACUCUCUGUCUCCUUGCUUAACUCCGCCUUACAGUGUUCUACCUUGCUUUAUAAUGGCUUGUGUUAAGUGCUUUCUCUUGCCUUCCUUCCUUUACUCUGUCUUACAUGUAUCCUUCGUUAACUGGCUCUCACUGCCUUGUUGCCUCACACACCGCGUUCGUCACAUUGCGUUGCGUUGCGUCACGGUUCUCAUGUCGUGGUGUCCUAUUAAGAAGGGAAGCCGAACAGAACAUAAUUACACCUCCCCCGCUUACUCACUCACUCUGGGCUGUUCCGUGUGCUCCAGCGAGGGCGGGGCGGGGAGGAAAGAGGAGAGAGGGAAAACAAUUAUCGAAAAGUAUACGUAGGAUAGAGGAGAGAUAGGAGAAGAGGCAAAUAAAGAGGUGGGAUGGAGAACUUAGAUAGGGAAAGAUAUAGCACAAGGAAGAGGUAAACUUAGAGAAGAGAUAAAAGAUAGGAAAGAGGCAGGAUAAAGGAGAGGUAGGAUAGGAAAAGGUAAAGAAAGAGGUGAAAUGGAGAAGUAGGAUAGGGAAAGAUAAAGCACAAGGAGAAGAGAAGAGAAGAGAAGAGAUAAAAGACAGGAUAGAGGCAGGAUAAAGGAGAGGUAGGAUAGGAAAAGGAAAAGAAGGACGUAGGAUAGAUAAAUAGGAUAGAAAAAAAGUAGGAUAGGGAAAGAUAAAGCACAAAGAGAAGAGAACAGAAGAGAAGAGAAGAGAUAAAAGAUAGGAUAGAGGCAGGAUAAGGGAAGCGAUAGGAUAAGAAAAGAUAAAAAAGACGUAGGAUUGAUAAAUAGGAUAAAAAACAGGUAGGAUAGGGAAAGAUACAGCACAAGGUAGAGGUAAACUAAGAGAGGAGAUAAAAGAUAGGCAGGAUAAAGGAGAGAUAGGAUAAGAAAAGAUAAAAAAAGACGUAGGAUUGAUAAAUAGGAUAGAAAAAAAGUAGGAUAGGGAAAGAUACAGCACAAGGUAGAGGUAAACUAAGAGAGGAGAUAAAAGAUAGGCAGGAUAAAGGAGAGAUAAGAGGAGAUACUGACCUCUGGAGAAGUAGGAUAUAAGAAGAAAUUGACCUCUCUUUUGGCCACUCCUGUCUGUUGUGGGAGCGGUGAGUAGCGGGCUUUUUUUUCUUUUUCUUUUCUACUCUCUUUUUCUUGCCCUUGAGCCGUCUCCUUUGCUGUAAAUAAAGGUGGGGGGAGAAGAGGAUUAAGGGAAGAGAUAAGAGUCGUUACAGGUAUACAUAGGUAAGUAAGAGGGAGGGGGAGGCAGGAAAAUUGGUCUGCCUUGUAAGAGGGUAAUAUGGUUCGUAAAGUUCCCCCUGCACUGGGUCGUUGAGGGCGGAGCGGCGCAUUACGGAGAUUAGGGCAACGAUUUUCCUUAAUGAACUCCCGUAUCGAACCCUUCCUUAACCGAUAAUUACGAGUCCCGAAGAGAAGAAAGAAAAGAAGAACCUCAGAAGACCCGACAAAGCUUGGAAAGUCUAGAUUAGUUUAGGCGCUGACAAUGACACCUUUUUGGACCGUGGAAAUGACCCAACAGAGGAAUUAUUAUUAUUUUUUUUACAGCAGAGGAGACAGAUCAAGGGCGUAAAAGAAAUAAUGAAAAAAAAAGCCCGCUACUUACUGCUCCUGAAUAGAGUAGAGAGGAGUGGCCAAACACAGAAAUCAAUCCCUAAUGUAUCCCUUGAGCUCCUAAACGGUAUCAGUUCUUUACCUUAUACCUGGUUGUGUUUAUGGAUGAUGCUGUCACGUUUUGUUUCUUUUUAAAACGUUGGGAAUUAAUGUUUACGAAGACGCCGCUAGCACAGAUUUCGUCGUUAUGAGAUGGAUGAGGAACACACACACACACACACACACACACACACACACACACACACACA